GACGAACCGUGCAAACGUUAUUCGGAAUCACUGGGCAUAAAGGGCGCGUAGGCGGCUUUCUAAGUCAGGGGUGAAAUCCGGCAGCUCAACUGUCGCAGUGCCUUUGAUACUGGAGAGCUCGAAGGAGGUAGGGGUCUGUGGAACUUCCGGUGGAGCGGUGAAAUGCGUUGAUAUCGGAAGGAACGCCGGUGGCGAAGGCGGCUCACUGGCCCGUUACCGACGCUCAGGCGCGACAGCGUGGGGAGCAAACAGG
rnacentral:rRNA from 1 species